GGGACACGUGGUAUCCUGUCUGAAUAUGGGGGGACCAUCCUCCAAGGCUAAAUACUCCUGACUGACCGAUAGUGAACCAGUACCGUGAGGGAAAGGCGAAAAGAACCCCGGCGAGGGGAGUGAAAAAGAACCUGAAACCGUGUACGUACAAGCAGUGGGAGCCUCUUUUAUGGGGUGACUGCGUACCUUUUGUAUAAUGGGUCAGCGACUUAUAUUCUGUAGCAAGGUUAACCGAAUAGGGGAGCCGAAGGGAAACCGAGUCUUAACUGGGCGUUAAGUUGCAGGGUAUAGACCCGAAACCCGGUGAUCUAGCCAUGGGCAGGUUGAAGGUUGGGUAACACUAACUGGAGGACCGAACCGACUAAUGUUGAAAAAUUAGCGGAUGACUUGUGGCUGGGGGUGAAAGGCCAAUCAAACCGGGAGAUAGCUGGUUCUCCCCGAAAGCUAUUUAGGUAGCGCCUCGUGAAUUCAUCUCCGGGGGUAGAGCACUGUUUCGGCAAGGGGGUCAUCCCGACUUACCAACCCGAUGCAAACUGCGAAUACCGGAGAAUGUUAUCACGGGAGACACACGGCGGGUGCUAACGUCCGUCGUGAAGAGGGAAACAACCCAGACCGCCAGCUAAGGUCCCAAAGUCAUGGUUAAGUGGGAAACGAUGUGGGAAGGCCCAGACAGCCAGGAUGUUGGCUUAGAAGCAGCCAUCAUUUAAAGAAAGCGUAAUAGCUCACUGGUCGAGUCGGCCUGCGCGGAAGAUGUAACGGGGCUAAACCAUGCACCGAAGCUGCGGCAGCGACGCUUAUGCGUUGUUGGGUAGGGGAGCGUUCUGUAAGCCUGUGAAGGUGUGCUGUGAGGCAUGCUGGAGGUAUCAGAAGUGCGAAUGCUGACAUAAGUAACGAUAAAGCGGGUGAAAAGCCCGCUCGCCGGAAGACCAAGGGUUCCUGUCCAACGUUAAUCGGGGCAGGGUGAGUCGACCCCUAAGGCGAGGCCGAAAGGCGUAGUCGAUGGGAAACAGGUUAAUAUUCCUGUACUUGGUGUUACUGCGAAGGGGGGACGGAGAAGGCUAUGUUGGCCGGGCGACGGUUGUCCCGGUUUAAGCGUGUAGGCUGGUUUUCCAGGCAAAUCCGGAAAAUCAAGGCUGAGGCGUGAUGACGAGGCACUACGGUGCUGAAGCAACAAAUGCCCUGCUUCCAGGAAAAGCCUCUAAGCAUCAGGUAACAUCAAAUCGUACCCCAAACCGACACAGGUGGUCAGGUAGAGAAUACCAAGGCGCUUGAGAGAACUCGGGUGAAGGAACUAGGCAAAAUGGUGCCGUAACUUCGGGAGAAGGCACGCUGAUAUGUAGGUGAAGCGACUUGCUCGUGGAGCUGAAAUCAGUCGAAGAUACCAGCUGGCUGCAACUGUUUAUUAAAAACACAGCACUGUGCAAACACGAAAGUGGACGUAUACGGUGUGACGCCUGCCCGGUGCCGGAAGGUUAAUUGAUGGGGUCAGCGCAAGCGAAGCUCUUGAUCGAAGCCCCGGUAAACGGCGGCCGUAACUAUAACGGUCCUAAGGUAGCGAAAUUCCUUGUCGGGUAAGUUCCGACCUGCACGAAUGGCGUAAUGAUGGCCAGGCUGUCUCCACCCGAGACUCAGUGAAAUUGAACUCGCUGUGAAGAUGCAGUGUACCCGCGGCAAGACGGAAAGACCCCGUGAACCUUUACUAUAGCUUGACACUGAACAUUGAGCCUUGAUGUGUAGGAUAGGUGGGAGGCUUAGAAGUGUGGACGCCAGUCUGCAUGGAGCCGACCUUGAAAUACCACCCUUUAAUGUUUGAUGUUCUAACGUUGACCCGUAAUCCGGGUUGCGGACAGUGUCUGGUGGGUAGUUUGACUGGGGCGGUCUCCUCCUAAAGAGUAACGGAGGAGCACGAAGGUUGGCUAAUCCUGGUCGGACAUCAGGAGGUUAGUGCAAUGGCAUAAGCCAGCUUGACUGCGAGCGUGACGGCGCGAGCAGGUGCGAAAGCAGGUCAUAGUGAUCCGGUGGUUCUGAAUGGAAGGGCCAUCGCUCAACGGAUAAAAGGUACUCCGGGGAUAACAGGCUGAUACCGCCCAAGAGUUCAUAUCGACGGCGGUGUUUGGCACCUCGAUGUCGGCUCAUCACAUCCUGGGGCUGAAGUAGGUCCCAAGGGUAUGGCUGUUCGCCAUUUAAAGUGGUACGCGAGCUGGGUUUAGAACGUCGUGAGACAGUUCGGUCCCUAUCUGCCGUGGGCGCUGGAGAACUGAGGGGGGCUGCUCCUAGUACGAGAGGACCGGAGUGGACGCAUCACUGGUGUUCGGGUUGUCAUGCCAAUGGCACUGCCCGGUAGCUAAAUGCGGAAGAGAUAAGUGCUGAAAGCAUCUAAGCACGAAACUUGCCC
rnacentral:rRNA from 1 species